UUAUACUUUGAUACGAUAUUAUUGUGAUGUUGAAGUUAUUUUGUUAUCGUUUCCCUUUUCAUCUCCAUAACACGUCCGUCGGCAUUUUUGAGCGUAUUCUUCACGCUCGAGCCCUAAUCAGAGCUUCAGCCACUAGAUUCGCGAGCAUCGAUGUAGUGUUUGAAACAGCCAAACCAGAACGAAAGUAGUAAGUGGGACCUUGCGCUUUGCUUACGGUACGGGUACGUACGGCUUAAAUUUGAAAUGUUGAUGUACUUGUUAGAUACUCUUACUAAAGUAGAAUCUAAUGGGGAAUUGGGGAUGAUUCUGUUAUCUUUAGGUAAAUUAGCCAUCCAAAAUAAAGUGUGUUGUGGUUGGUUUAAAAACUUGGGGGGGUGUUGGCUUUGCAGCUUGUAGAUUCUGAGUUCUGGUCUUAAAGAAGUUUGCUUUUGUCAACUUUAAUGCAAAUCUUGGGUCCAUUGAGGUUUGUGGCAUCAAAA